rnacentral:tRNA from 1 species
ACGGAUAUGAUGAAAAUGGUAGACAUGUUGGUUUUAGAGUCCAAUGAUAAAUUCGUGUGGGUUCAAGUCCCUCUAUCCGUA